rnacentral:rRNA from 1 species
UACGAAGGGGGCUAGCGUUGCUCGGAAUUACUGGGCGUAAAGGGUGCGUAGGCGGUUCGUUAAGUCUGUCGUGAAAUCCCCGGGCUUAACCUGGGAAUUGCGUUGGAGACUGCAAGGCUGGAGUCUGGCAGAGGGGGGUAGAAUUCCACGUGUAGCAGUGAAAUGCGUAGAGAUGUGGAGGAACACCGAUGGCGAAGGCAGCCCCCUGGGUCAAGACUGACGCUCAUGCACGAAAGCGUGGGGAGCAAACAGG